AGCCCAUGAUGUGUUGAUUUGCUACUCUUGAUUUAGAUGUGAUGAAAAUUAUUACCACCACAAAAUGUUUCUGAGGCU
rfam:Stegodyphus mimosarum contig103623, whole genome shotgun sequence.